ACCGUUACGAAUAAGCCUUCCAAUUAAGCCCUAACUUUCCAUUUCCCCUCUCACUCACUCUCUCUCCUCGAACUCCCUCCUUUGCCUUCACCUUUCAUUCUCACUCUUUCACUCCCAAACUCCCUCCUUCUCCGUUAAACCCCAUUGAAGCUCUGCCGGAUCGGAAAUCCUUCGCAAUUCCUUUCUUCUCCCUCAGCUACCGGAGCAGCUAAUCGGCCACCAGUCCUCCGCAAUUCCUGUGUUCUCCCUUGCAAUUCCCUUUUUCUCCCUCGCAAUUUCCUUCUUCACUGUCAACUCCAGUGGUUCUCCCUUGACGCCGGCUGUCAGCCCCUUUCUUCUCUAUCGCAAUUCCCUUCUUCUCCCUCGGCUGCCAGAGCAUCUUCUCGCCUAAUUCCGACCACCAGUCCUCCGCCUGCAGCCGUCCUUACAUUACGGGGUUGGUUGUUUGAAUGGGUAUCCUCUGGCCAACCAAAAGUUGGAUUCAGACAGUUUGCUGGCUUCAUUGAUUUGGAUGAUAAAACUGGGGGGAGCUUGUUUUACUACUUUGUUGAAGCUGAGAAGGAUCCUGACCAUAAGCCACUCACUCUUUGGCUUAACGGAGAGGUUUGCAAAGUUGUUGACGAUGAUGAUAAGUACAUGGAUCCUCAGUUUUGUACAACCACAACUUGAUAUUUACAAGCAUAUGCGUGCUUCCAAGAUAUUGACAAGACCUUCAGCGAAUUUCAUAAAGAAGAUUCAAAAGAUAUAAUGCAUGCCAGUGUGUGAGCCACACUCGCUGAUUGGCUUGUAGAGGCAUUGCUAUACAAACUUUAUGGAGUUUAUAAUUAAUUGCAUUCUGAUCCUAUAGCUUUUGAGAAAGCAGGGUAUGCUUUUCUUGAUGAUCCUGUAUGUUCUUAAAUCAGAAGGAAUUUUUGAAGGAGUUGCCAUAUAUGUGUCAAAUUGUCAAUCAUCAAAGCCCAUCAUAUGCUGGGCAUGCUGAAGCAAAAGUUUUUAAAUAUGAGUUGUUAAAGAACGGCAAACAAGCCAAACUAAGUUGCCUGGAUUUGUUUAUGCAUGAUACAAACUUAGUACCACAAUUGAGAAGAGAUUGAGCCACAUGUUUAUGCAGCUAAGACUAGUCAUCUACUAGGCAUGAAUAAUGAUGUACAUUAAAGUCUUUUUUUUUUUUUUUUUUUUUUGGGG